rnacentral:rRNA from 1 species
AAAAAUGUUAGAUCAUACUAACCUAUUUGAGCCAAACCUCUAGCCCGCUUACCCCAUCAAACACCCAACCAAAAUAAACAAACCAUUUGAUACGACUAGUAAAGGCGAUUAAACAUCACACAAGGAGCAAAAGAUACAGUACCGCAAGGGAAACAUGAAAAACAGUGAAAAACUAUAAGCGAAACAAAGCAAGGACAAACCCCUGUACCUAUUGCAUCAUGGUCUAGCAAGAACUACACAGACACGGCGUCCCAGCCUGUGCCCCCGAAAUCAAGUGAGCUACCCUAGAGCAACCUCCUAGGGUUAACCCGUCCCUGUGGCAAAAGGGUGGGAAGACUCUAAGGUAGCGGUGAAAAGCCUACCGAACUUGUUGAUAGCUGGUUGCCUGAUAAAUGAACCUAAGUUCAGCCUUAAAUUCAUCAAACACACCAUAGUAAAGACUUAAUUUAAGACCUAGUCAGCGGGGGUACAGCCCCGCUGACCCGGGACACAACCCGAAGUAAAGAGACAGCAUUCUACCACACACCAGUAGGCCUUAAAGCAGCCAUCAAAAACAUUGCGUCAUAGCACACACCAAAAAAUACCACCACAUAAAACAACCUCUUACAACCAUCUCAGUGCCAAUCUAUAAAAAUAUAGAAGAACUAAUGCUAGAACUAGUAACAAGAACUUUUUCUCUCCGCACAACUGUAAAUCAGUCACAGAAAAACUACUGAAAAUUAACAGCACAAUACAUACCUUAACAAACAUUGAUUAUUACUGUUAAACCGACUCAGGGGUGCCAAAAAGAAAGAUCCUAAGUUAAAGAAGGAACUCGGCAAAACAACAUCCCAACUGUUUACCAAAAACACAGCCUUUAGCUAUGCAAGUAUUAAAGGUGGCGCCUGCCCAGUGAACCAAUUUAACGGCCGCGGUAUCCUAACCGUGCAAAGGUAGCGUAAUCACUUGUCCUUUAAAUGGGACCAGUAUGAACGGCUAAAUGAGGAUAAGUCUGUCUCCUUUAACAAAUCAGUGAAACUGAUCUACCAGUACAAAAGCUGGUAUAGCCCCAUAAGACGAGAAGACCCUGUGGAGCUUUAAAUUUAAGCCAAGCAACUAAAGCACAAGUUAGCCAAUGGUUAAAAAUUUUAAGUUGGGGCGACUUCGGAAAAAAACCAAACUUCCGAGCAUUAGACCACGUCUCACCAAGACCAACAAGUCAAGGCUAAAACUGACCCAGUACCACUGACAACCGAACCAAGUUACCCCAGGGAUAACAGCGCAAUCUUCUUCAAGAGUCCCUAUCGACAAGAAGGUUUACGACCUCGAUGUUGGAUCAGGACACCCAAAUGGUGCAGCCGCUAUUAAACAAUCCAGGUCGGUUUCUAUCUAUGUAGUUGUUUUCUUUAGUACGAAAGGACCAAGAAAACAGGACCUAUCCUAAUAGCACGUCCUAGAUACAAGGCUGAACACAACUAAAGCCAAACAACACAACCCCGCCCGAAGAUAACGGGCUUA